rnacentral:lncRNA from 1 species
UUAUCCUUGACAUCAUCUAAUGAUACGCAGCGGAAAUAACAGUCAAGGAUUAGAUCUAGAUUUACAAUUUAUUCAUGUGUAGAGAUAGGCAAACGUACACAACAAUAAGAAUAACUUACUUGUUAUGUGGUAAACGUGCGUCUCGAUUCGUGUCGUGAAUCCACUACUAAGGUAUCCACGUGCAUGUCGAUUCGAUGCAGGAACAAUUCCCAGUGCAUGUUUCAAUCUUCGACAGCUAGGAAAUCUCCGAUUGAAACCAUAGUACUCUCUUAGUGUUUGCAAGCCAAAAGCUCUAAGCUAAUGUUUUCGUAUAUUUUCAUAUAUCGAUUCGUAAGACCAAGCUCCCUUAUUUAUAAGCGAAGAAGACAAUUCUAAAUUGUCUUGUCUUCCUUAGUCAACAAUUACGACUAAGGAAUUCACACUUGAGUCAACAAUUACGACUAAGGAAUUCACACUUGAACUGUCUUACUUAGUAUUAGAAUAUAUCAAAUAUAUCCUAAUCUAGUCC